GGAAGCACCGGCUAACUCCGUGCCAGCAGCCGCGGUAAUACGGRGGGUGCAAGCGUUGUUCGGAWUUAUUGGGCGUAAAGCGCGUGUAGGCGGUUUSUUWAGUCUGAUGUGAAAGCCCUGGGCUCAACCCAGGAAGUGCAUUGGAUACUGKSAGACUUGAAUACGGGAGAGGGUAGUGGAAUUCCUAGUGUAGGAGUGAAAUCCGUAGAUAUUAGGAGGAACACCGGUGGCGAAGGCGGCUACCUGGACCGAUAUUGACGCUGAGACGCGAAAGCGUGGGKAGCAAACAGGAUUAGAUACCCUGGUAGWMCACGCCGUAAACGAUGAGAACUAGGUGUCGCGGSYMMYUUGACC
rnacentral:rRNA from 1 species